rnacentral:rRNA from 1 species
CACGCCGUAAACGGUGGGCGCUAGGUGUGGGUUUCCUUCCACGGGAUCCGUGCCGUAGCUAACGCAUUAAGCGCCCCGCCUGGGGAGUACGGCCGCAAGGCUAAAACUCAAAGGAAUUGA